AGAGCGAACGCUGGCGGCAGGCUUAACACAUGCAAGUCGAGCGCCCCGCAAGGGGAGCGGCAGACGGGUGAGUAACGCGUGGGAACGUACCUUUUGGUUCGGAACAACACAGGGAAACUUGUGCUAAUACCGGAUAAGCCCUUACGGGGAAAGAUUUAUCGCCGAAAGAUCGGCCCGCGUCUGAUUAGCUAGUUGGUGAGGUAACGGCUCACCAAGGCGACGAUCAGUAGCUGGUCUGAGAGGAUGAUCAGCCACAUUGGGACUGAGACACGGCCCAAACUCCUACGGGAGGCAGCAGUGGGGAAUAUUGGACAAUGGGCGCAAGCCUGAUCCAGCCAUGCCGCGUGAGUGAUGAAGGCCCUAGGGUUGUAAAGCUCUUUAACGGGAAGAUAAUGACGGUACCCGUAGAAUAAGCCCCGGCUAACUUCGUGCCAGCAGCCGC
rnacentral:rRNA from 1 species